GUGGGGAAUUUUGGACAAUGGGCGCAAGCCUGAUCCAGCAAUGCCGCGUGUGUGAAGAAGGCCUUCGGGUUGUAAAGCACUUUUGUCCGGAAAGAAAUCUCCUGGGUUAAUACCUCGGGGGGAUGACGGUACCGGAAGAAUAAGCACCGGCUAACUACGUGCCAGCAGCCGCGGUAAUACGUAGGGUGCGAGCGUUAAUCGGAAUUACUGGGCGUAAAGCGUGCGCAGGCGGCUCUGCAAGACAGAUGUGAAAGCCACGGGCUCAACCUGGGAACUGCAUUUGUGACUGCAAGGCUAGAGUGUGUCAGAGGGAGGUGGAAUUCCGCGUGUAGCAGUGAAAUGCGUAGAGAUGCGGAGGAACACCGAUGGCGAAGGCAGCCUCCUGGGAUAACACUGACGCUCAGGCACGAAAGCGUGGGGAGCAAACAGGAUUAGAAACCCCGGUAGUCC
rnacentral:rRNA from 1 species